CCUACGUGAGGCAGCAGUGGGGAAUAUUGCACAAUGGGGGAAACCCUGAUGCAGCGACGCCGCGUGAGUGAAAAAGUAAUUCGUUACGUAAAGCUCUAUCAGCCGGGAAGAAAAACUGACCUUACGGUCAGCAGACGGUACCUGAGUAAGAAGCCCCGGCUAACUACGUGCCAGCAGCCGCGGUAAUACGUAGGGGGCAAGCGUUAUCCGGAUUGACUGGGUGUAAAGGGAGCGUAGACGGUGCGACAAGUCUGGAGUGAAAUGCCGCAGAUUAACUGCGGAACUGCUUUGGAAACUGGCGAACUAGAGGGCGGGAGGGGUAAGCGGAAUUCCUAGUGUAGCUGUGAAAUGCGUAGAUAUUAGGAGAAACACCGGUGGCGAAGGCGGCUUACUGGACCGUAACUGACGUUGAGGCUCGAAAGCGUGGGGAGCAAACAGGAUUAGAUACCCGAGUAGUC
rnacentral:rRNA from 1 species